UCCAUGGACGUUACGUCGAAAGUUCUGGAUGACGAGGAAUCGGCGACUAUCACGGCCGGCGCGAUCGUCACGAUGGAGGUGACGCUACGCCGACGCCACCUGGAGGAGCUGUUCUAGAAGGAACCCGAUGUGCAGCACGUAGAUGAUGAGAAGGAAGAGAUGGAGGAGGAGAAGCAGGCGGCAGCGGCGGCGGCGG